rnacentral:rRNA from 1 species
ACUGGGAUAACUUCGGGAAACCGGAGCUAAUACCGGAUAACAUUUAGAACCGCAUGGUUCUAAAGUGAAAGAUGGUUUUGCUAUCACUUAUAGAUGGACCCGCGCCGUAUUAGCUAGUUGGUAAGGUAACGGCUUACCAAGGCGACGAUACGUAGCCGACCUGAGAGGGUGAUCGGCCACACUGGAACUGAGACACGGUCCAGACUCCUACGGGAGGCAGCAGUAGGGAAUCUUCCGCAAUGGGCGAAAGCCUGACGGAGCAACGCCGCGUGAGUGAUGAAGGGUUUCGGCUCGUAAAACUCUGUUAUUAGGGAAGAACAAAUGUGUAAGUAACUGUGCACAUCUUGACGGUACCUAAUCAGAAAGCCACGGCUAACUACGUGCCAGCAGCCGCGGUAAUACGUAGGUGGCAAGCGUUAUCCGGAAUUAUUGGGCGUAAAGCGCGCGUAGGCGGUUUCUUAAGUCUGAUGUGAAAGCCCACGGCUCAACCGUGGAGGGUCAUUGGAAACUGGGAAACUUGAGUGCAGAAGAGGAAAGUGGAAUUCCAUGUGUAGCGGUGAAAUGCGCAGAGAUAUGGAGGAACACCAGUGGCGAAGGCGACUUUCUGGUCUGUAACUGACGCUGAUGUGCGAAAGCGUGGGGA